rnacentral:rRNA from 1 species
GACGAACGCUGGCGGCGUGCUUAACACAUGCAAGUCGAACGGAAAGUGCUCAGCUUGCUGGGUGACUCGAGUGGCGAACGGGUGAGUAACACGUGGGUGAUCUGCCCUGCACUUUGGGAUAAGCCUGGGAAACGGGGUCUAAUACCGAAUAUUCCUUGCUGGUCCCUUGGCCUGGUGGGGGAAAGCUUUUGCGGGGUGGGAUGGGCCGGCGGCCUAUCAGCUUGUUGGUGGGGUGAUGGCCUACCAAGGCGACGACGGGUAGCCGGCCUGAGAGGGUGUCCGGCCACACUGGGACUGAGAUACGGCCCAGACUCCUACGGGAGGCAGCAGUGGGGAAUAUUGCACAAUGGGCGCAAGCCUGAUGCAGCGACGCCGCGUGAGGGAUGACGGCCUUCGGGUUGUAAACCUCUUUCAAUAGGGACGAAGCGUAAGUGACGGUACCUAUAGAAGAAGCACCGGCCAACUACGUGCCAGCCGCCGCUGUAA